GGCGUAGCUCAGCUGGUAGAGUAGUGGUCUCCAAAACCAUUGGUCGUGGGUUCGAACCCUACCGCC
rnacentral:tRNA from 1 species